ACAGUGUUCCUGAUUUUGGAUGUACUCGUGAGUACAAUCCAGUGUGUGGAGAUGAUGGUGUCACAUACUCCAAUGAGUGCAUGCUACACUGGGAGAACAAGUCUCGUGACAAGAAUGUCAACCUGAAGCACGUAGGAGUGUGUGAGACCUCCUGAAUUCACUGCCGUUACAUCUAUGGCAUCCACAAUGGCUUUCCAUUUAGAUACUACAGCAACAACCAGCAUGAUUUUCUGUCAUACAUUAAUCAGUAUAAUAGGAAGACAUAUGCUAUUGGAACUUUAUCAGACAUUGCUUUGUCGACAUGUAAUCUCAUGCAAUAAACAGAGAAGCAUUUAAGAGCUCUAUUUUCUUAAUAAAUUAAUAAAAAUAAUUUCAAA